CCAGACUCCUACGGGAGGCAGCAGUGGGGAAUAUUGCACAAUGGGGGAAACCCUGAUGCAGCGACGCCGCGUGAGCGAUGAAGUAUUUCGGUAUGUAAAGCUCUAUCAGCAGGGAAGAAAAUGACGGUACCUGACUAAGAAGCCCCGGCUGACUACGUGCCAGCAGCCGCGGUAAUACGUAGGGGGCAAGCGUUAUCCGGAUUUACUGGGUGUAAAGGGAGCGUAGACGGCCAUUCAAGCCAGAUGUGAAAGCCCGGGGCUCAACCCCGGGACUGCAUUUGGAACUGUGUGGCUAGAGUGUCGGAGAGGCAGGCGGAAUUCCUAGUGUAGCGGUGAAAUGCGUAGAUAUUAGGAGGAACACCAGUGGCGAAGGCGGCCUGCUGGACGAUGACUGACGUUGAGGCUCGAAAGCGUGGGAGCAAGCAGGAUUAGAUACCCCAGUAA
rnacentral:rRNA from 1 species